rnacentral:tRNA from 1 species
GUCUUUGUGGCGCAUUCGGUCAGUGCAGUCGGCUGUUAACCGAAAGGAUGGUGGUUCAAGUCCACCCAGGGAUG